GCUACGGUAGUUUAUUACAAACACUAGCCUGUGGUACUAGAAACGGAAUAUUUACCUUCCUCAUAGC
rnacentral:tRNA from 1 species